UGUUUGAUGUUCUAACGUGGACCCGUGAUCCGGGUUGCGGACAGUGUCUGGUGGGUAGUUUGACUGGGGCGGUCUCCUCCUAAAGAGUAACGGAGGAGCACGAAGGUUGGCUAAUCCUGGUCGGACAUCAGGAGGUUAGUGCAAUGGCAUAAGCCAGCUUGACUGCGAGCGUGACGGCGCGAGCAGGUGCGAAAGCAGGUCAUAGUGAUCCGGUGGUUCUGAAUGGAAGGGCCAUCGCUCAACGGAUAAAAGGUACUCCGGGGAUAACAGGCUGAUACCGCCCAAGAGUUCAUAUCGACGGCGGUGUUUGGCACCUCGAUGUCGGCUCAUCACAUCCUGGGGCUGAAGUAGGUCCCAAGGGUAUGGCUGUUCGCCAUUUAAAGUGGUACGCGAGCUGGGUUUAGAACGUCGUGAGACAGUUCGGUCCCUAUCUGCCGUGGGCGCUGGAGAACUGAGGGGGGCUGCUCCUAGUACGAG
rnacentral:rRNA from 1 species